UGGCGCACGGGUGCGUAACGCGUGGGAAUCUGCCCCUUGGUUCGGAAUAACCGUUGGAAACGACGGCUAAUACCGGAUGACGACGAAAGUCCAAAGAUUUAUCGCCGAGGGAUGAGCCCGCGUAGGAUUAGCUAGUUGGUGGGGUAAUGGCCCACCAAGCCUACGAUCGGUAGCUGGUUUGAGAGGAUGAUCAGCAACACUGGGACUGAGACACGGCCCAGACUCCUACGGGAGGCAGCAGUGGGGAAUCUUAGACAAUGGGCGAAAGCCUGAUCUAGCCAUGCCGCGUGGGUGAUGAAGGCCUUAGGGUCGUAAAGCCCUUUCGCCGGGGAAGAUAAUGACUGUACCCGGUAAAGAAACCCCGGCUAACUCCGUGCCAGCAGCCGCGGUAAUACGGAGGGGGUUAGCGUUGUUCGGAAUGACUGGGCGUAAAGCGCGCGUAGGCGGAUCGGAAAGUUGGGGGUGAAAGCCCAGGGCUCAACCCUGGAAUUGCCUUCAAAAC
rnacentral:rRNA from 1 species